rnacentral:lncRNA from 1 species
AUACACUUCAGCAAACGCUCGAUCACCAGGCACUAUCUGCAUGCUGUGUGCAGAUCCUGUAGGAACCUGAUGGAGGGAGAAAUCCUCUUCCUGCACUUAGAGCACACCACUGUGCUAGUUCUUGCACAUCAAAGUGCCAGACCACACCUGUGCAAACGCAACAAUGCCCAUUCCACAUGGUUCAGUUCCAGCAGGUGAUACACAGGGUGCACAUGAUUGCUGAGAAAUGGCACCUCCACACAAUUCCUUAAAACAUUCCUUCAGAUCCAGUCCGGUGUACAGGCAAUAUCUACCUGAUGGACUGAUGAGUCCAGGAUUGAUGAGGAUAUCUACGGCCAAGAUCUGCACAGUGCGCCAAGAGAACUGGGAAUUUCAGGGACUACUUUACUUGGUUGCUGCUCUCACAUCCUUGUUUUGGCUGUAAGCUGUUCCUUGCCUGAAUCAGUAAUUGCCUGCGAUCCUCCAUGAACACGUGCAACAGAAAACGCUCCACUGCAGAUUCAGGAAGAGCCAUUGCCAUGGAUGCUGAGGCUGCACAAAGAGGUGGAUGUUAGGCAACAUAGCUGCAAAGCAUAUGUACUGGCAUGCGGGGUAUCUUCAUGCACUGAAUGCUAUAACAUUCAAGAAACUUAUUAUCAAGUCAGUUAUGAAAAUGAACCACUU